GGAACACUCUAGGAAGAAUGGAGCUGUUCUAAUGGAGGAUAACUUGCUCUUCAGAUGAAAGUAUUUCUUGCUCAUCUCAUACAAAAUGAGUGUUAACAGUGCAAGCAGCCAACUUUUGUUCUCGUGUGCAUCAGGAGCUCAAGUGACUCCACUGAAACUCUGGCAUUUAUCACAGACAAAAUUAGGUCAGAAGAGAGCACAGAGGUAUGGAACGGAAAAGAGAUAAAUUCAUCCUUAGGAAAAAAAAAAGUCUCGAGCUGCAAACUUGGGCUUAAUUUGUCUCCUCCACGUAAGACGGAUCUAACAACGCAGUCUGGGCUCCGUGCCAAAGGCUGGUAUUUCACAGCAGCGACCGCCUUACAGAUGAGCUGUGGGAAGCAGGAGGGAGACUCUCUUAGGGUGCCACUACUAUGGAGACACAGCUGGGCUGAACAAGAUUUGCUUCAAACGACAACAAGAGAGACAGAAAGUGUCUGGUUCGACCGCUGCCCAAGCAGGCAGUAACCAGAAGAGCUAGCAGCCAAUCCGGCCAUGCUGCACUGUUCGAAACCAGCUCUACAUCCCAGCCAAUCAGUGACAUCACUGGUGAGAAACUCAUUUACAUCAUGCAGUAAUGAACUUUGUUUAACGUAUCCUUUUUUCUUUUCUUUUUUUUUUUUUUUUUUCCUCACAGAGAUUAGGUCCU
rnacentral:lncRNA from 1 species